AAAAAAAAAGAACACAAGCCGCCCUAGAAAAACGAGUUUUUCAACUUGUAAAGGGAAAAUCCAACUGGUGUGCCUGUGAGAAAGAGUGUCAUAUCCUGUUUGAGCUUUGAAUGUUUUUUGUGAAAGUGAAAGGUCAGCCUUAAAAGCAGGAUUUCAGAAAACAGAAGUGAAAGGUCCUGCUCGUUCCCUUUCAUGUAAAUUAGCUAUCACGAUGUGUGAGUAGCUGAUGCUUCUCUUCCAUGCAGUUCAGGGCAUUUUCACUCACGUUGAAGAAGCUUCACCAACCCCUCAUACUGAUGAACUGGGCUGAUUUGGGAGAAGGAGUGACAGUGGGUAGAAUCAUCUGGUAGAAUUCAAGUUUUUCAAGGUAAUGCCUUAUUUUGACUCUUCUCUGCAAGAGAGCUUGGAAGACCUGCUUCCUCAGGAAUGCCUGGGUUUCCUAAGGCCCCUGUGUUAGUUGCCUGACCUGUGUUGUUUUCAGUGUUCCUUUCAAGCUGGUGUAACUUAUCAGGGUUUGUUUUUCUUAUGUUCAGGGCCGAGUCGCAGCAGGAAGAGGACACACAGGCAUAGGACUCUGUAAUUGAAAGAGAAGCUGGCAGGAGCUCCCUUCACUCCCUUACCCACCCGGCACCCACAAGGCCUUUGGCUGCCACGUGAUGAGCGCGGGUUCUGUGCGUCCUUGUUCCACCCAGCACAGACAUCCUGGAGAGCGGCCAUGUUGGGGCCCCCAGGGGCAUGUGGCUUGUGUGUUUGGAAGUUCCUCCUUGCUCUGCUCCACUCCUGCCUUGUGAAGAUGGUGACUACUUCCUCUUCUGCCGUGAUUGUAAGUUUCCUGAGGCCUCACCAGCCAUGCAGAACUGUGAGUCAAUUAAACCUCUUUCCUUUAUAAGUUACCCAAUCUCAGGUAGUAUCUUUAUAGCAGUGUGAAAACAAACUAAUACAAUCCCUAUUUUAAGGUCAAGUGAUUAGCAGCUUUAAUCCCCCUUUGCCAUGUAAUGUAACAUAUUUGUAGUUUCUGGAGAUUAGGAUGUGAUCACCUUUGGGAGACAAUUACUCUGCUUACCACAGUUGCCAAAAAACAAACAAACAAACAAAAAAAACAA